UACGUAGGGGGCAAGCGUUGUCCGGAUUUAUUGGGCGUAAAGAGCGUGUAGGCGGCCGUACAGGUCAGCUGUGAAACUCGAGGCUCAACCUCGAGACGUCGGUUGAAACCGUACGGCUAGAGUCCGGAAGAGGAGAGUGGAAUUCCUGGUGUAGCGGUGAAAUGCGCAGAUAUCAGGAGGAACGACCGGUGGCGAAGGCGGGUCUCUGGGCCGUAACUGACGCUGGAGGAGCGGAAAGCAUGGGGAGCGAACAGG
rnacentral:rRNA from 1 species